rnacentral:rRNA from 1 species
CAGCAGCCGCGGGAAUACGUAGGGUGCGAGCGUUAAUCGGAAUUACUGGGCGUAAAGCGUGCGCAGGCGGUUUUGUAAGACAGGCGUGAAAUCCCCGGGCUUAACCUGGGAAUGGCGCUUGUGACUGCAAGGCUAGAGUGCGUCAGAGGGGGGUAGAAUUCCACGUGUAGCAGUGAAAUGCGUAGAGAUGUGGAGGAAUACCGAUGGCGAAGGCAGCCCCCUGGGACGAGACUGACGCUCAUGCACGAAAGCGUGGGGAGCAAACAGGAUUAGAUACCCCCGUAGUCCCUGUCUCUUAUAC